CCUACGGGAGGCAGCAGUGAGGAAUAUUGGUCAAUGGGCGGAAGCCUGAACCAGCCAAGCAGCGUGCAGGAUGACGGCCCUACGGGUUGUAAACUGCUUUUAUACGGGAAUAACGCGCCUUAAGUGUAGGGCUUUGCAUGUACCGUACGAACAAGGACCGGCCAAUCUCGUUCCAGCAGCCGAGGCAAUACGGAGGGGCCGGGCGUUGUCCGGAUUUAUUGGGUGUAAAGGGAGAGUAGGCGGUAUGGCAAGCGUGCUGUGAAAUGGCCGGGCUCAACUCGGGCUUUGCAGGGCGAACUGGCAAGCUUGAGUGCGCGGGAGGCAGGCGGAAUGCGUGGUGUAGCAGUGAAAUGCUGAGAUAUGGGGAGGAAC
rnacentral:rRNA from 1 species